UACGGGGGGGGCAAGCGUUGUUCGGAAUUACUGGGCGUAAAGGGCGCGUAGGCGGCCCCUUUUGUCGCGUGUGAAAGCCCCGGGCUCAACCUGGGAACGGCGCGCGAAACGGGGGGGCUUGAGUUCGGGAGAGGAGAGUGGAAUUCCCAGUGUAGAGGUGAAAUUCGUAGAUAUUGGGAAGAACACCGGUGGCGAAGGCGGCUCUCUGGGACGGUACUGACGCUGAGACGCGAAAGCGUGGGGAGCGAACAGG
rnacentral:rRNA from 1 species